rnacentral:rRNA from 1 species
UACGUAGGGUGCGAGCGUUAAUCGGAAUUACUGGGCGUAAAGAGCUCGUAGGCGGUGUGUCACGUCGGCCGUGAAAACCUGCAGCUUAACUGUGGGCGUGCGGUCGAUACGGGCAUCACUGGAGUUCGGCAGGGGAGACUGGAAUUCCUGGUGUAGCGGUGAAAUGCGCAGAUAUCAGGAGGAACACCGGUGGCGAAGGCGGGUCUCUGGGCCGAUACUGACGCUGAGGAGCGAAAGCGUGGGGAGCAAACAGG